GACGAACGCUGGCGGCGUGCUUAACACAUGCAAGUCGAACGGAAAGGCCCUGCUUUUGUGUGGUGCUCGAGUGGCGAACGGGUGAGUAACACGUGAGUAACCUGCCCUUGACUUUGUGAUAACUUCAGGAAACUGGGGCUAAUACCGGAUAGGAGCUCCUGCUGCAUGGUGGGGGUUGGAAAGUUUCGGCGGUUGGGGAUGGACUCGCGGCUUAUCAGCUUGUUGGUGGGGUAGUGGCUUACCAGGGCUUUGACGGGUAGCCGGCCUGAGAGGGUGACCGGAGACAUUGGGACUGAGAUACGGACCAGACUCCUACGGGAGGCAGUAGUGGGGAAUAUUGCACAAUGGGCGGAAGCCCGAUGCAGAAACGCCGCGAGCGGGAUGCCGGCCUUCGGGUUGUAAACCGCUUUCGCAUGUGACGAAGAGUGAGUGACGGUAAUGGGUAAAGAAGCAACGGCUAACUACGUG
rnacentral:rRNA from 1 species